rnacentral:rRNA from 1 species
AGCGAACGCUGGCGGCAGGCCUAACACAUGCAAGUCGAACGAACUCUUCGGAGUUAGUGGCGGACGGGUGAGUAACACGUGGGAACGUGCCUUUAGGUUCGGAAUAACUCAGGGAAACUUGUGCUAAUACCGAAUGUGCCCUUCGGGGGAAAGAUUUAUCGCCUUUAGAGCGGCCCGCGUCUGAUUAGCUAGUUGGUGAGGUAACGGCUCACCAAGGCGACGAUCAGUAGCUGGUCUGAGAGGAUGACCAGCCACACUGGGACUGAGACACGGCCCAGACUCCUACGGGAGGCAGCAGUGGGGAAUCUUGCGCAAUGGGCGAAAGCCUGACGCAGCCAUGCCGCGUGAAUGAUGAAGGUCUUAGGAUUGUAAAAUUCUUUCACCGGGGACGAUAAUGACGGUACCCGGAGAAGAAGCCCCGGCUAACUUCGUGCCAGCCGCCGCCGUAA